rnacentral:rRNA from 1 species
GACGAACGCUGGCGGCGUGCUUAACACAUGCAAGUCGAGCGGUAAGGCCCUUUCGGGGGUACACGAGCGGCGAACGGGUGAGUAACACGUGGGUGACCUGCCCUUAGCUCUGGGAUAAGCCUGGGAAACUAGGGUCUAAUACCGGAUAUGACUCCAUAACGCAUGUUGUGGGGUGGAAAGCCUUGUGCGGCUAGGGAUGGGCCCGCGGCCUAUCAGCUUGUUGGUGGGGUGAUGGCCACCAAGGCGACGACGGGUAGCCGGCCUGAGAGGGCGACCGGCCACACUGGGACUGAGACACGGCCCAGACUCCUACGGGAGGCAGCAGUGGGGAAUCUUGCGCAAUGGGCGAAAGCCUGACGCA